CAGUCGCCGCGGGAAUACGUAGGUGGCAAGCGUUGUCCGGAAUUAUUGGGCGUAAAGGGCUCGCAGGCGGUUUCUUAAGUCUGAUGUGAAAGCCCCCGGCUCAACCGGGGAGGGUCAUUGGAAACUGGGAAACUUGAGUGCAGAAGAGGAGAGUGGAAUUCCACGUGUAGCGGUGAAAUGCGUAGAGAUGUGGAGGAACACCAGUGGCGAAGGCGACUCUCUGGUCUGUAACUGACGCUGAGGAGCGAAAGCGUGGGGAGCGGACAGGAUUAGAUACCCGCGUAGUCCCUGUCUCUUAUAC
rnacentral:rRNA from 1 species